AAGCUGGGAAGUGCAGCCAAGGAUGACUUGCCGGCGAGUUGGGUUUAUAUAUAGACUACAUUUGGCCAUAUAUAUAAACUAGACUCGACGAUUGGCAAGUCAUUCUUGGCUACAUGUCCCCUUCA
rfam:Ipomoea nil DNA, scaffold: scaffold1509, cultivar: Tokyo-kokei standard.